AUCCAGGGAUGGGAAUCGAACCCACAAUGUUCCGCUUACCGGGCAGAUGCCAUGUCCACUAGGCUACCCUGGA